rnacentral:rRNA from 1 species
AACCUGGUUGAUCCUGCCAGUAGUCAUACGCUUGUCUUAAGGAUUUAUCCAUGCAUGUCUAAGUGCAGUGUAUCUUGACACACUAGACUGCGGACGGCUCAUUAUAACAGUUAUAGUUUAUUUGAUGGUUCAUUCUACGUGGAUAACCGUGGUAAUUCUAGAGCUAAUACAUGCCAAAAUCCCGGUCUCUCUGAGCAUUGGGAGCAUUUAUUAGAUACCAAAUCAACCGGCUUUUGCCGCUUUGAGGACUCAUAAUAACUUUAGCAGAUCGUUUAACAACGGCGUAUCAUUCAAGUUUCUGACCUAUCAGUUAGUCGGUAGUGUAUUGGACUACUGAGGUUUUGACGGGUAACGGAGAAUUAGGGUUCGGUUCCGGAGAGGGAGCCUGAGAAACGGCUACCACAUCUAAGGAAGGCAGCAGGAGCGUAAAUUACCCAAUCCUGACCCAGGGAGGUAGUGACAAGAAAUCACAAUAUUUUACCCUUCUAGGUGAAAUAAUUGUAUUGAGAACAGGAUAAACAUGUUAUUGAUAAACUAUUGGAGGGCAAGUCUGGUGCCAGCAGCCGCGGUAACUCCAGCUCCAAUAGCGUAUGCUAACGUUGUUGCAGUUAAAAAGCUCGUAGUUGGAUUUUUAAGGGUACCAGUCUUGAUCGGUCUUCUAGUAUCGUUUCUUGGCCUGGUUCCUCUUAUUUUGCGUCUGCGCUCGGUUGGAAUUCGUUUUCUGAUCGUGCAUUAGACGCGUGUUUACUUUGAGAAAAUUAGAGUGUUCAAAACAGUCUCUUGAUUGUAUAUCAUAGCAUGGAAUAAUAACUGAUGACUUCGGUCAAUUGUUUAUUGGUUUGGAUGGCUGAUGUAAUGAUUGAUAGAGUUAGUCGGAGAUAUUAGUAUUUUAUCGCUAGAGGUGAAAUUCAUGGAUCGAUAAGAGACUAACAACUGCGAAAGCAUUUAUCUAGGAUUUGCUCUUUGAUCAAGAACGAAAGUUGGGGGAUCGAAGACGAUCAGAUACCGUCGUAGUCUCAACUUUAAACUAUACCAGCUAGGGGUUGGCAAAUGUUUCCUUUGACUUUGUCAGAACCUUAUGAGAAAUCAAAGCAUUUGGGUUCCGGGGGGAGUAUGGUCGCAAGGCUGAAACUUAAAGGAAUUGACGGAAGGGCACCACAAGUUGUGGAUCCUGUGGCUUAAUUUGACUCAACACGGGAAAACUCACCAGGUCCAGACAUAGUAAGGAUUGACAGAUUGAUAGCUCUUUCUUGAUUCUAUGGGUGGUGGUGCAUGGCCGUUCUUAGUUGGUGGAGUGAUUUGUCUGGUUAAUUCCGUUAACGAACGAGACUAUUACCUGCUAAAUAGCUUGACGGGACUAAGGUCGCGUUUAAGCUUCUUAGAGGGACUAGUGUGUGUCAAAACCGCUGGAAGUUAGUAGCAAUAACAGGUCUGUGAUGCCCUUAGAUGUUCUGGGCCGCGCACGGGCUACACUGAUGGAGGAAAUAAGCUCUCUGUUCAUGGUCCGAGAGGAUCGUGCAAUCUUGAAACUCCAUCGUGGUUGGAAUCGCGCAUUGUAAUUUUUGCGCGUGAACGAGGAAUAUCUAGUAAGCGUGCAUCAUUAAUGCACAGUGAAUACGUCCCUGCCCUUUGUACACACCGCCCGUCGCUCCUACCGAUUGGAUGAGUUGGUGAGUAAAUCGGAGGUUACCUCGGUGUGCUCUUUGAGCAUUUCCUUGGUUUUCGAAACUUUGCAAACUAGACUAUCUAGAGGGAGGAGAAGUCGUAACAAGGUUUCCGUAGGUGAACCUGCAGAAGGAUC